UUAACUAUUUUAUAUGAACUCAGACAGUACAAAAUAGAGAAUUAAGGGUCCUCUGGUGGGCACACACCAGCCCAAGGCCAGUAGUCAAAAGACAGGCCCACCAAAGCAACAGGUAUUAUAAACAAAGGGUGGGAGAUAUACCCUAGCGGGUAUGUUCUCUGUAAUGAUCCUUCCGCAGGUUCACCUACGGAAA
rnacentral:misc_RNA from 1 species